ACCACUCACAUUCUCUUUUUUAUCUCUUCUUCGAUCUUGUGUUCCGGACUGUACAUGCUGCCUUGAAUAAUGAAGACAAAGACACACUGUAGAGAUGACAGAGAGGAGAGCUGGAAGUAUUUUGAGUCUCUAAACUACUUCUCCACUGCUGAACUAUAAAGUUUCUGACAUUUAUACCGGGCAACAAAAUAUUCCUAUAGCUGGUUAGGAAAAUUCCAGCUUCCUUAGAUCGACUUCCUGCAUUACGCGGGCCUCUCACUGUUGUGGCCUCUCCUGUUGUGCAGCACAGGUUCCGGACGCGCAGGCUCAGCGGCCAUGGCUCAUGGGUCCAGCCGCUCCGUGGCAUGUGGGAUCUUCCCAGACCAGGGCACGAACCCAUGUCCCCUGCAUUGGCAGGCGGACUCUCAACCACUGUGCCACCAGGGAAGCCCAAAGCUUUUCUGAUGAAUUAUUUUAGUGGAAAUAAUUGUUCUAUCUCAGAAUCCUUAAAUUCUGUUCAAUAUUUUAUUAUAACACUAAUUUCAUUUUGUCUUGCAGAAUCCUUACUUUAUAUGUAGGUACCACAUAGUUCUUAAAUGUUUACAGCAUGGGCCAAAUUCAAUGAUAAAUUUCCUUCUAUGCUUUCUAAAUUUUACUGUAAAAUGUUUGAAAAAUUACCUAUAUCUACACUCCCCCGAGUUAUCUUUGCCAAUUUUUCUGCUUUUGUUAUCAUUUUGUACACAUAUACAUAUAUGUGUACACAAUAAAAUGAAGUUCAUAUGGACUAUACUAUUUUUGUGUUUUUAUCACUUAAUUAUAUUAGCAUAUAAGGUAAUUCUUUUAUCUUUACAUGGAAUGUAAUUUUAAUACUGUACGAAUGUCCAU